GCGGCGGACGGGUGAGUAACACGUGGGUAACCUGCCCAUAAGACUGGGAUAACUCCGGGAAACCGGGGCUAAUACCGGAUAACAUUUUGAACCGCAUGGUUCGAAAUUGAAAGGCGGCUUCGGCUGUCACUUAUGGAUGGACCCGCGUCGCAUUAGCUAGUUGGUGAGGUAACGGCUCACCAAGGCAACGAUGCGUAGCCGACCUGAGAGGGUGAUCGGCCACACUGGGACUGAGACACGGCCCAGGCUCCUACGGGAGGCAGCAGUAGGGAAUCUUCCGCAAUGGACGAAAGUCUGACGGAGCAACGCCGCGUGAGUGAUGAAGGCUUUCGGGUCGUAAAACUCUGUUGUUAGGGAAGAACAAGUGCUAGUUGAAUAAGCUGGCACCUUGACGGUACCUAACCAGAAAGCCACGGCUAACUACGUGCCAGCAGCCGCGGUAAUACGUAGGUGGCAAGCGUUAUCCGGAAUUAUUGGGCGUAAAGCGCGCGCAGGUGGUUUCUUAAGUCUGAUGUGAAAGCCCACGGCUCAACCGUGGAGGGUCAUUGGAAACUGGGAGACUUGAGUGCAGAAGAGGAAAGUGGAAUUCCAUGUGUAGCGGUGAAAUGCGUAGAGAUAUGGAGGAACACCAGUGGCGAAGGCGACUUUCUGGUCUGUAACUGACACUGAGGCGCGAAAGCGUGGGGAGCAAACAGGAUUAGAUACCCUGG
rnacentral:rRNA from 1 species